GACGAACGCUGGCGGCGUGCCUAAUACAUGCAAGUAGAACGCACAGUUUAUACCGUAGCUUGCUACACCAUAAACUGUGAGUUGCGAACGGGUGAGUAACGCGUAGGUAACCUGCCUGGUAGCGGGGGAUAACUAUUGGAAACGAUAGCUAAUACCGCAUAAUAUUAAUUAUUGCAUGAUAAUUGAUUGAAAGAUGCAAUUGCAUCACUACCAGAUGGACCUGCGUUGUAUUAGCUAGUAGGUGAGGUAACGGCUCACCUAGGCGACGAUACAUAGCCGACCUGAGAGGGUGAUCGGCCACACUGGGACUGAGACACGGCCCAGACUCCUACGGGAGGCAGCAGUAGGGAAUCUUCGGCAAUGGACGGAAGUCUGACCGAGCAACGCCGCGUGAGUGAAGAAGGUUUUCGGAUCGUAAAGCUCUGUUGUAAGAGAAGAACGGGUGUGAGAGUGGAAAGUUCACACUGUGACGGUAUCUUACCAGAAAGGGACGGCUAACUACGUG
rnacentral:rRNA from 1 species